AACGAACGCUGGCGGCAGGCUUCAUACAUGCAAGUCGCGCGAUUAAACCCAGCAAUGGGAUAUAAAGCGGCGAACGGGUGAGUAACAGGUGGAUAAUCUGCCUUUUGGUGGGGGAUAACGGCUGGAAACGGCCGCUAAUACCGCAUGUGGUUGCGAGGGCUAUGGCCUUUGCAAAGAAAGGCGCUGCAAGGCGCCGCCAAGAGAUGAGUCCGCCCCCCAUUAGCUAGUUGGCGGGAUAAUAGCCCACCAAGGCUUUGAUGGGUAGCCGAGCUGAGAGGUUGAUCGGCCACACUGGAACUGAGACACGGUCCAGACACCUACGGGUGGCAGCAGUAGGGAAUAUUGGACAAUGGGCGAAAGCCUGAUCCAGCCAUGCCGCGUGAGUGAUGAAGGCCUUCGGGUCGUAAAACUCUUUUCUGAGGGAAGAACAUCCGGUGCAGGAAAUGGCACUGGCUUGACGGUACCUCAGGAAUAAGCAACGGCUAACUCCGUGCCAGCAGCCGCGGUAAUACGGAGGUUGCGAGCGUUGUUCGGAAUAACUGGGCGUAAAGGGAGCGCAGGCGGUUCGGCAAGUCUAAAGUGGAAGCCCGGGGCUUAACCUCGGAAGUGCUUUGGAUACUACCGAGCUCGAGUUCGUGAGAGGAAAGCGGAAUUCCAGGUGUAGCGGUGAAAUGCGUAGAUAUCUGGAGGAACACCGGUGGCGAAAGCGGCUUUCUGGCACGAUACUGACGCUGAGGCUCGAAAGCAUGGGUAGCAAACGGGAUUAGAUACCCCGGUAGUCCAUGCCGUAAACGUUGUGCACUAGGUGUGGGAGGUAUCGACCCCUUCCGUGCCGCAGCUAACGCAUUAAGUGCACCGCCUGGGGAGUACGGUCGCAAGACUG
rnacentral:rRNA from 1 species